CUUGGAAUAAAACAAAAUCCUUAAAAUGUCAAAACGGGGAGUGUCUGCUGGGGAAAUCUCUAAGAUGAAAGCCACUUUGUCACCUUCUUCCUUCCUGCUUGGGACACACAUGUAAUGCUUGGCACUGCUCCCCCUAUCUUGUCACCAUGAGAUGACAGCCAAGAGGAGAAAAAGCCAAAACAGAGAGGAUGACAGUGAAGAAAGAGGAAAAGUGGUUAAACCUCACAUGACAUCAUGGAAACCUGAACAAAGGCACAGAACCACAGAUUUCCCAAUUCUUGCGAAGGAAGCAAUUCAUGUUCCUUCUGGGUGAAGCUGCU
rnacentral:lncRNA from 10 species